rnacentral:rRNA from 1 species
UACAGAGGGGGCAAGCGUUAUUCGGAAUUAUUGGGCGUAAAGGGCGCGUAGGCGGCCUGGCAAGUGGAAGGUGAAAUCCCUCGGCUUAACCGAGGAGCUGCCUUCCAAACUGCUUGGCUUGAGUCCGGGAGAGGUGAGUGGAAUUCCCAGUGUAGCGGUGAAAUGCGUAGAUAUUGGGAGGAACACCAGUGGCGAAGGCGGCUCACUGGACCGGAACUGACGCUGAUGCGCGAAAGCCAGGGGAGCAAACGGG